AGGAGAAUGCUAAUGGUCGUCGCCGAUGGCUGUGGUCUCGCAUGAUGAGGAAGAGAGUAGAUGUGAGCCAAGGAUGACUUGCCGCCAUAUCUAUAGCCAUCGGCAGAUGUCUCAACUUCUGUCGAAACCCUUUCUGUCUUAUGAGGCAGCUUGCGAAGUGAUGCUUUCAACCGUAAUAUCAUCAUAUAUAAGGUUGGGUCAGUAUGCCCUGAUCUGGAUUUCCAUGAGCCGUCCAAUCUGGAUCCCACGGGAGCUUACCGACGAAGGGUUUCGAGAAUGAAAAAUCAUGCAAAUCAGACGUUGGACUUUACAAGCCCAAGACGAGACGAUGUCAUGUAUUUCUGAUUUUGCUGUUGUUCCCAUGUGAUGUCAUUUUCCAUCGUGCCUGAAUUACAAGUUUGCCAUUUCGUUGCCA